GUUGUCGGAUUUACUUCAAUCCAUGUGUGUUGGUGUGGGUUGGUAUGAAAUUUAGUUCAAGUUCCACACCAAUCCACCUCAAGUCCUUAAUACAUGUGGAUUGAUGUGAAUUCGACU
rnacentral:pre_miRNA from 1 species